UGGCAGAGAAAGAACGCUAGUAACUAGAUGUAAGACAUGCAAGUAUAAUGUUCAAGUUGAUGAAUAUUUGCGUCCGGGUGAGUAAUGAUAAAGAACGUACCCCAUUGAUUGGAGAGAUUCUGUAAAGGUAUAAGGUUACCGUAAUGGGAGGGGUUUUAUUUGUAUUAGCUAGUUGGUGAUGUAACGGAUUACCAAGGCGAU
rnacentral:rRNA from 1 species